AGUGAACGCCGGCGGUAGGCCUAACACAUGCAAGUCGAACGGCAGCACAGUAAGAGCUUGCUCUUACGGGUGGCGAGUGGCGGACGGGUGAGGAAUACAUCGGAAUCUACUUUUUCGUGGGGGAUAACGUAGGGAAACUUACGCUAAUACCGCAUACGACCUACGGGUGAAAGCAGGGGAUCUUCGGACCUUGCGCGAUUGAAUGAGCCGAUGUCGGAUUAGCUAGUUGGCGGGGUAAAGGCCCACCAAGGCGACGAUCCGUAGCUGGUCUGAGAGGAUGAUAAGCCACACUGGAACUGAGACACGGUCCAGACUCCUACGGGAGGCAGCAGUGGGGAAUAUUGGACAAUGGGCGCAAGCCUGAUCCAGCCAUACCGCGUGGGUGAAGAAGGCCUUCGGGUUGUAAAGCCCUUUUGUUGGGAAAGAAAAGCAGCAGGUUAAUACCCCGCUGUUCUGACGGUACCCAAAGAAUAAGCACCGGCUAACUUCGUG
rnacentral:rRNA from 1 species